GACGAACGCUGGCGGCGUGCUUAACACAUGCAAGUCGAACGGAAAGGCCCUGCUUUUGUGGGGUGCUCGAGUGGCGAACGGGUGAGUAACACGUGAGUAACCUGCCCUUGACUUUGGGAUAACUUCAGGAAACUGGGGCUAAUACCGGAUAGGAGCUCCUGCUGCAUGGUGGGGGUUGGAAAGUUUCGGCGGUUGGGGAUGGACUCGCGGCUUAUCAGCUUGUUGGUGGGGUAGUGGCUUACCAAGGCUUUGGCGGGUAGCCGGCCUGGGAGGGGGACCGGCCACAUUGGGACUGAGGUACGGCCCAGACUCCUACGGGAGGCAGCAGUGGGGAAUAUUGCACAAUGGGCGGAAGCCUGAUGCAGCAACGCCGCGUGCGGGAUGACGGCCUUCGGGUUGUAAACCGCUUUCGCCUGUGACGAAGCGUGAGUGACGGUAAUGGGUAAAGAAGCACCGGCUAACUACGUG
rnacentral:rRNA from 1 species